AUGAUCCUGGCACUCCUCCCAGCGCUGGUGGCACACUUUCUUCUGAGAGAUGCCAGAGCUCAGUCAGUGACUCAGCCUGAUGCUCAAGUCACUGUCUCUGAAGAGGCCUCUCUGCAGCUGAGAUGCAGCUUCUCUGCCUCUGUGUCACCUUACCUCUACUGGUAUGUCCAGUAUUCAGGGCGAGGACUGCAGCUGCUCCUCAAGUAUUAUUCAGGAGACACAGUGGUUCACGGCAUGAAUGGCUUUGAGGCUGAGUUUAACAAGAGUGACUCUUCCUUCCACCUGAGGAAAGACCCUGUGCAGUGGAGUGAUUCGGCUGUGUACUUCUGUGCUUUGAGCGCACAGUGUCUGGGGCUGCAGGGGGAGCUGAACACAAACACCCAUGGUAGAGAGCACGCAGUCUCCUGUUCUCUCCUUGCAUCUUUGAAGCAUUUCUUUCAGCCUUUCAGCUUGAAUCCCAGGGGCAACCUCAUCAGUCUGACUUCAGGAACAAAGGAGAGUGGAAGGAUGAAGUCAACAUUCGAUUCUAAGGAGCUCUUCAGUACCCUGCACAUCAGGGAUGCCCAGCUGGAGGACUCAGGCACUUACCUCUGUGCUGCUGCUGAGGCACAGUGCUUCCAGCAAGACUGCAGCCUGGCCACAAACUACAGCUCCAGCCCCUGA